rnacentral:rRNA from 1 species
AGCCCAAAUGUUACGCGGGCAGAGCCGUUAGGUUCGACGUGGAGUUGCGUUUCUCAACCGGGUGCCGUGACCCAUAGAUCGGAAGAGGUGAUAGAUACACCUUCGCUCCUCACCAAGGGGGGAAAGUAUGCCCGACUAGCAUACUUUCCAAUUGGUACCGGGCCGAGUCGCUAUGUAUUUGCUAUAGCUUCUUAUCCCGGGCAACUCAACAACGUGGUUGAAAUCCCUUCCUGAGGAACCGCCACGUUAAAUAAAGGCUGAGAGAUCAGCAGACACAUGUCCCUAUCUACUAUAGCUUCUUAUCCCGGGCAACUCAACACCGUGAUUGAAAUCCCUUCCUGAGGAACCGCCACGUUAAAUAAAGGCUGAGAGAUCAGAAGACAUAUGUCCCUAUCUACUAGGUUCUACUAGUCCCUAGGCUAGAAGAGCAUGACAUAUACUGUUGUGUCGAUAUUUUCUCCUCGGACCUUGAAAAUUUAUGGUGGGGACACGCAAACUUCUCAACAGGCCGUACCAAUAUCCGCAGCUGGUCUCCAAGGUGAAGAGUCUCUAGUCGAUAGAAUAAUGUAGGUAAGGGAAGUCGGCAAAUUAGAUCCGUAACUUCGGGAUAAGGAUU